rnacentral:rRNA from 1 species
UGCAAGUCGAGCGGACCGACGGGAGCUUGCUCCCUUAGGUCAGCGGCGGACGGGUGAGUAACACGUGUGUAACCUGCCUGUAAGACUGGGAUAACUCCGGGAAACCGGGGCUAAUACCGGAUGCUUGAUUGAACCGCAUGGUUCAAUCAUAAAAGGUGGCUUUUACCUACCACUUACAGAUGGACCCCCGGCGCAUUAGCUAGUUGGUGAGGUAACGGCUCACCAAGGAGACGAUGCGGAGCCGACCUGAGAGGGUGAUCGGCCACACUGGGACUGAGACCCGGACCAGACUCCUACGGGAGGCAGCAGAAGGGAAUCUUCCGCAAUGGACGAAAGUCUGACCGAGCAACGCCGCGGGAGAGAUGAAGGUUUUCGGAUCGUAAAACUCUGGUGUUAGGGAAGAACAAGUACCGUUCGAAUAGGGCGGGACCUUGACGGUACCUAACCAGAAAGCCACGGUUAACUACGUGCCAGCAGCCGCGGUAAUACGUAGGUGGCAAGCGUUGUCCGGAAUUAUUGGGCGUAGAGCGCGCGCAGGCGGUUUCUUAAGUCUGAUGUGAAAGCCCCCGGCUCAACCGGGGAAGGUCAUUGGAAACUGUAGAACUUGAGUGCAGAAGAGGAGAGUGGAAUUCCACGUGUAAAGUGGAAAUGCGUAGAGAUGUGCAUGAACACCAGAUGGCGAAUGCGACUCUCUGCUCUGUAACUGACGCUGAAGCGCG